UGACAGAGGUCGGUGGAAUUCGUAGUGUAGCGGUGAAAUGCAUAGAUAUUACGAAGAACACCAGUGGCGAAGGCGGCCGGCUGGGUGACAGAGGUCGGUGGAAUUCGUAGUGUAGCGGUGAAAUGCAUAGAUAUUACGAAGAACACCAGUGGCGAAGGCGGCCGGCUGGGUCAGUAUUGACGCUGAGGCACGAGAGCGUGGGGAGCGAACAGGAUUAGAUACCCUGGUAGUCCACGCUGUAAACGAUGUAUGCUAGUUGUUGGGCCUAUGGGUUCAGUGACGCAGUUAACGCAGUAAGCAUACCACCUGGGGAGUACGUUCGCAAGAAUGAAACUCAAAGGAAUUGACGGGGGCCCGCACAAGCGGUGGAGCAUGUGGCUUAAUUCGAUGCAACGCGAAGAACCUUACCCGGGCUAAAUCCACGAUGACCGCUCCCGAAACGGAGCUUCCCUUCGGGGCAUCAUGGAAGGUGCUGCAUGGCUGUCGUCAGCUCGUGCCGUGAGGUGUUGCCUUAAGUGGCGCAACGAGCGCAACCCCUGUGGUUAGUUACCAGCACGUAAUGGUGGGGACUCUAGCCAGACUGCCUACGCAAGUAGUGAGGAAGGUGGGGACGACGUCAAGUCAUCAUGGCCCUUAUGUCCGGGGCUGCACACGUGCUACAAUGGAUGGUACAGAGGGAAGCUACCCAGCGAUGGGCUGCAGAUCUCGAAAGCCAUUCCCAGUUCGGAUUGGAGUCCGCAACUCGACUCCAUGAAGGUGGAAUCGCUAGUAAUCGCGUAUCAGCAAUGACGCGGUGAAUACGUUCCCGGGCCUUGUACACACCGCCCGUCAAGCGAUGGAAGUCAGGAGUACCUGAUGUCGGCGUGCCAACCCUUCGGGGAGGCAGCUGCCUAGGGUAAGCCUGGUAACUGGCGCUAAGUCGUAACAAGGUAGCCGUACCGGAAGGUGCGGCUGGAUCACCUCCUU
rnacentral:rRNA from 1 species